rnacentral:antisense_RNA from 1 species
GUGGCGGUGGCGUCCCAGGUGGCGGGCUCACCGAGCAGCGCCUCCUCGCCGAACCGGUCGCCCUCGGCGACGGUCUCCAGCACCAGGUCUUCUCCGUACUUGCCUGCGCGGGUGCGGCGGACCCUGCCGUGGGCGAUGAGGCGCACGUACUGGAUGUCGUCGCCCUCGCGGGCCAGCACCUGACCGGCCUCGAAGUCGUGCUGCGUGAAGGCGUCGGCCAGCGCCGACAGGGCCUCCGUGUCCUCGAAGCCGCGCAGAAUGGGCAGCUCCCCGAGUUCCGGGGGGAGCACGCGGACGGUCGCGCCGGUCUGCUCGAAGUCGAUCCGGCCGUCACCGACCGUGUAAGUCAGUCGGCGGUUGACGCGGUAGACGCCGCCUUCGGUCUGCACCCAUGGGAGGACCUUCAGGAGCCAGCGCGAGGUGAUGCCCUGCAUCUGCGGGGCGGAUUUGGUGGUGGUCGCGAGAUUCCGUGCGGCGGCCGUGCUGAGAGACCGCGAGGGCUCUUCGG